ACUGGUUACAUUUGACGGCUUUAGUCCAGGGACCCAGACGCUACUGGAUAAGGCCAGCCCGGAGUGGGCGGGGAAAGGGGAGGAGGGCUAGAAGGGGUGAAAUUUGAGGUCAUAUCCCGGGAGAGAGGAAGAAGGGUCGUGAGUCACCGAACCCGAAGGAGAGGAAAAGAUGUGGAGGCAGCGGUCUAUGGCCUCUUCCAGCUCCGGACGGGGGAUGGGGACGCUCUGGGCAAUACGGGCCUCAGUUAUUGUCCCACUGUCCUUUCAACCCUUAACCAACCCAGUUG
rnacentral:lncRNA from 1 species